AGCUCGGUGUGUCCCCCUAUGAUCUGCCAAUGGAUUCUCAGCUUCCUGACGGUACGGACACAACAGACAUCAGCAAAUGUAAAGAAGACCGCCAAUGGAGGUCUAAAGCACUGAAUCUUGAAUCACUUCGGACGGUUUGCCAGAAAUCACCAAAAUCGCACAAUACAGUUACUGUAAUAGUACUGGUAGCUUAGGACUGUUCCACAACAUCUGCACCUAUAUGAAUCUUUUAUCAGCACUUAAUUCAGUACGACUGUGAUUAUUAUACUGUUUUUCUUUGUCACUGUAAUGUUAUGUCUGCAAAGGUUUAAACGUUUGAUAAAUAUAAAAAGUCAAAUAAGA